rnacentral:ncRNA from 1 species
GUGCGUCUUCAGGGCGGGGCGAAAUUCCCCACCGGCGGUAGGCUGGCGAAAGCCGGCGAGCCCGCGAGCGCCCGCGCAUCAGCGCGGGGUCAGCAGAUCUGGUCGAAUGCCAGAGCCGACGGUCAUAGUCCGGAUGAGAGAAGAUGUGC